CAUAUAUUUAUAAUCAUAAUCCUUAUAAUAUAAAAUAUAUAAAUAAUAUAUAAUAAUAUAUAUUAACCAUUGUAUUAUGGCGACACACUAUUAAAGUGUUUCAUACUUUGCGACACACAAUAAAAAAAAAAUAAGAAUAAUUAUACCAUUUAAUUUUUGUAAAUAUAGUGUCAACAAGGUUUGUGCAUUUAAUAUUAAUUCUUCCCGCGACACGUUUAGACUUCCCCGGCGACACACCGGUUGAGAAACACUGACCUAUAUCCUUGUAUAAUAUAGUAAUGUAGUAUUAUUCGUCGCGUUGGUGUUGUAUUUACAAAUUUACAAUUUGCCGCGUUUAAUGUAUACGAUGUUUCAAAUGUUUCAACCAUUGAUUAAAGAAUAGUCUACUCUAUAAAUCUAUAAUACAUAAAUGAUUUCAACUGUUUUUUGUAACAUGAUGUAAUACGUAUUUAGUAUUUAUAGUGCAUGCUGGUCGAUACAUCGACCAUAAACAAUGAACAUAUUAAUUUAACUCUAUACAUAGAUAUACAGAGACAGAUCUGUAUAGGUAGUGCGUUAUUCAAUAGUAACUUACCUAUUACCUAAUCUAUCUUGAAUAGCCUACAAUUUCCCUAUAUAAAACGUAAUAUAUUAUAAAUUGUAGUAAAAAAUACUCUGGCUGUCAUCACUCAUCACCCAUUCUGACCAUUUGACACCGUUUCCGUAUCUGCAGUCAUACAUUAUUAAUGGGUAAACCGGCCGCUAUUUAUCUCAUGUAAGUAUACCCUCACUACCACUUGUCGAUUACUAUUGCAUCUCAGCCAUCUGAUUUUCACUACAUAUGUCUUUAAGGCAACUUUUUAUAGUGCAAUUUGCUUACAUUACAAUAUAUUUGUGCAGAUUUCCGGUUGCUUACGCGAUACUGAAAAUGUUCCGAAGAUUGAUUCCAGUAAUAGUCCAGUGGACUUGUCGAAAAAUUCUGAAAGAUCUGAUACAAUGAGAUGAGCGUCAAAAAAGAGGCCAAAAAAUGGUGCACCGGUGUGGCGGACUACACUUCCCAGCUGGGACUGGUGUCCGCCAUGUCCGGUGACCAGGAGGAGCGGCCAACAGCAGCUCAGGUGAACUGCAUGUCCCUGCAGGAACUGCUGCGAGACCCGGUGUGAGCGAUUAUAUACCGUCGUGGUUGGGCUGACCCAGAAGAAGCGAACAUCCAACAAACAAAACUCUCCACACCAUCGGAAAAAACGCGUUUGAGAGACGCAGUGCCCUGAUGGCCAAGGAGCCGGAAACGGUGACCAAGGCGUCAGGGCCACUCUCCGCGCCAGCCGAGAAGCCGGAAACGAUAGAAAAAGCCUUUAUACGCAGAAAGUUUCAGCCGCCGAAGGAAAAAAGGAAGGCCCGGGAGCCAAGCCAUUUGUUAGCCAGAAAUAUCGGCUAGCUAAGAAACCCAUGCCGACCACGAACCCGGAGGCCAUCUCACCGAAAACCCAUCCUGCCGAAACCCAUCUCUCCGAAAUAUAAACAGCAUUUUGUUUCAUUAAAAUAAUAAUUGUAUAAUAUGUUUAUUCAAAUAAAGUCGUGGAAUCGUAAAAAAUAAAUUAAAUAAUUUAAGCAUUAACUAUGUACUUAUACGACAAAAUGUUAGUAAGAAGAAUUAAUUUAUCAUUUUAUAAUAUAUAAUGAAAUAUUAAUGAAAAAUUUGCGUGUUGUAGGUUGAGGGUCUGUAAUCUGUAUAAACGGGUGUCGAUCGGUAGCAAAUGCGCAGAAAAAAAAUUACGCAAUAAACAUUUGCGUAGUUCGAUACAAUGAGCGUCAACAAAGAGGCCGGAAAAUGGUACACCGAUGUGGCGGACUACACCUCCCAGCUGGGACUGGUGUCCGGUGACCUGGAGGAACGGCGGACGGCAGCUCAGGUGAACCAAAGUCCACUUAGGAACUGCUGCAGGACCCGGUGUGGGCUGCUAUAUAACGCCGCGGCUGGGCAGACGGGCGGUGGACAGCCGACAAACACAACGACUGUAGCUUAGCAGCCAGUGCUCCUCUCUGGUCAUAGCCAGGAGAAAAGCAACCGCCGCAAGAGCAAGCGGAGGAAAAAACGCGUUUUGCGGUAAAUGGACCCAUUGCCGAGAUAACCGAGGAGCCGGAAACGAUAACCAAGGCGUCAGGGGGUACACCAACCGUGAAAGUAUAAGAAUAGUAGCACAGCAGGCGCGGCUCCGUAGACAGUUCCAGAAGCUAACGGAGAAGAGGAAGGCCAGGGAGCAAUAAUUGGCUAGCCAAGAAUACCGGCUAGCUAAGCAACCCGCGCCAACCUAGCUACUCAAGCUAGGCCAUCGGACUACACGAGUAGCUCACCAAAGCCGCGGGAUUGUAAUUUUUGAUUAUUGUGUUAUGCAUCAUGACUACAUCUGAAAAAUAUAAAA